UACGGGGGGAGCAAGCGUUGUUCGGAUUUACUGGGCGUAAAGGGCGCGUAGGCGGUCAGCACAAGUCAGUUGUGAAAUCUCCGGGCUUAACCCGGAAAGGUCAACUGAUACUGUGCGACUAGAGUGCGGAAGGGGCAACUGGAAUUCUUGGUGUAGCGGUGAAAUGCGUAGAUAUCAAGAGGAACACCUGCGGCGAAGGCGGGUUGCUGGGCCGACAUUGACGCUGAGGAGCGAAAGCCAGGGGAGCAAACGGG
rnacentral:rRNA from 1 species